rnacentral:rRNA from 1 species
CCUACGGGAGGCAGCAGUGGGGAAUUUUGGACAAUGGGCGCAAGCCUGAUCCAGCAAUGCCGCGUGAGUGAAGAAGGCCUUCGGGUUGUAAAGCUCUUUUGUCAGGGAAGAAACGGCAGUUUCUAAUACAGAUUGCUAAUGACGGUACCUGAAGAAUAAGCACCGGCUAACUACGUGCCAGCAGCCGCGGUAAUACGUAGGGUGCAAGCGUUAAUCGGAAUUACUGGGCGUAAAGCGUGCGCAGGCGGUUUUGUAAGUUUGUCGUGAAAUCCCCGGGCUCAACCUGGGAAUGGCGAUGAAGACUGCAAGGCUAGAAUCUGGCAGAGGGGGGUAGAAUUCCACGUGUAGCAGUGAAAUGCGUAGAGAUGUGGAGGAACACCGAUGGCGAAGGCAGCCCCCUGGGUCAAGAUUGACGCUCAUGCACGAAAGCGUGGGGAGCAAACAGGAUUAGAUACCCUGGUAGUCCACGCCCUAAACGAUGUCUACUAGUUGUCGGGUUUUAAUUAACUUGGUAACGCAGCUAACGCGUGAAGUAGACCGCCUGGGGAGUACGGUCGCAAGAUUAAAACUCAAAAUGAAUUGACGG